rnacentral:lncRNA from 1 species
AUGGAUUUAAGAGAGAAACAAGAAAACCACGAAAAUGGCUUAGGCUUUCAGAGAAACCCUAGAAAAAUGAGAAAGGCCUGGAAAGGGCUGCUCGAGUCAGAGAUGAACUCGCAAGGCUAGGACACGUUGGAGAUGAGCCGGAGAUGGCCAUAGCACCGGAAUUGGAGAUCUGAGCUAGGGUCUUUAGGACUGGACCUUGGAACUUCAUGUAGCAGGAGAAUAACGGCAUGUGGGGGUGAGUACAGGUCACCUAGGGCCUGAGAUGCCAUGAUUUCCGGCGAGAUAAGGCGGAAACCGGUGAGAUGUGGCUAGGGUUUCGGAGAUGACUUGAGAGGAUUUGGGAACGAAGGGGUUUCAGG